GACAACUUGGCCGAGUGGUUAAGGCGACAGACUUGAAUAAAUUUCUGGAUUAUACUCUUUAGAAUUUACUUAUUCUGCUAUCUGUUGGGUUCGCCCUCACAGGUUCGAAUCCUGUAGUUGUCG